GACAGAGGGUGCAAGCGUUGUUCAGAAUUACUGGGCGUAAAGCGCGUGUAGGCGGCAUGUCAAGUCGGAUGUGAAAGCCCUGGGCUCAACCCAGGAAGUGCAUUCGAUACUGCCGUGCUAGAGUCCCGGAGAGGGUGGUGGAACUCUCGGUGUAGAGGUGAAAUUCGUAGAUAUCGAGAAGAACACCGGUGGCGAAGGCGGCCACCUGGACGGUGACUGACGCUGAGACGCGAAAGCGUGGGGAGCAAACAGG
rnacentral:rRNA from 1 species